GGGUUGUGAGGUUAAGCGACUAAGCGUACACGGUGGAUGCCCUGGCAGUCAGAGGCGAUGAAGGACGUGCUAAUCUGCGAUAAGCGUCGGUGAGGUGAUAUGAACCGUUAUAACCGGCGAUUUCCGAAUGGGGAAACCCAGUGUGUUUCGACACACUAUCAUUAACUGAAUCCAUAGGUUAAUGAGGCGAACCGGGGGAACUGAAACAUCUAAGUACCCCGAGGAAAAGAAAUCAACCGAGAUUCCCCCAGUAGCGGCGAGCGAACGGGGAGGAGCCCAGAGCCUGAAUCAGUGUGUGUGUUAGUGGAAGCGUCUGGAAAGGCGCGCGAUACAGGGUGACAGCCCCGUACACAAAAAUGCACAUAUUGUGAGCUCGAUGAGUAGGGCGGGACACGUGGUAUCCUGUCUGAAUAUGGGGGGACCAUCCUCCAAGGCUAAAUACUCCUGACUGACCGAUAGUGAACCAGUACCGUGAGGGAAAGGCGAAAAGAACCCCGGCGAGGGGAGUGAAAAAGAACCUGAAACCGUGUACGUACAAGCAGUGGGAGCCUCUUUAUGGGGUGACUGCGUACCUUUUGUAUAAUGGGUCAGCGACUUAUAUUCUGUAGCAAGGUUAACCGAAUAGGGGAGCCGAAGGGAAACCGAGUCUUAACUGGGCGUUAAGUUGCAGGGUAUAGACCCGAAACCCGGUGAUCUAGCCAUGGGCAGGUUGAAGGUUGGGUAACACUAACUGGAGGACCGAACCGACUAAUGUUGAAAAAUUAGCGGAUGACUUGUGGCUGGGGGUGAAAGGCCAAUCAAACCGGGAGAUAGCUGGUUCUCCCCGAAAGCUAUUUAGGUAGCGCCUCGUGAAUUCAUCUCCGGGGGUAGAGCACUGUUUCGGCAAGGGGGUCAUCCCGACUUACCAACCCGAUGCAAACUGCGAAUACCGGAGAAUGUUAUCACGGGAGACACACGGCGGGUGCUAACGUCCGUCGUGAAGAGGGAAACAACCCAGACCGCCAGCUAAGGUCCCAAAGUCAUGGUUAAGUGGGAAACGAUGUGGGAAGGCCCAGACAGCCAGGAUGUUGGCUUAGAAGCAGCCAUCAUUUAAAGAAAGCGUAAUAGCUCACUGGUCGAGUCGGCCUGCGCGGAAGAUGUAACGGGGCUAAACCAUGCACCGAAGCUGCGGCAGCGACACUAUGUGUUGUUGGGUAGGGGAGCGUUCUGUAAGCCUGUGAAGGUGGCCUGUGAGGGUUGCUGGAGGUAUCAGAAGUGCGAAUGCUGACAUAAGUAACGAUAAAGCGGGUGAAAAGCCCGCUCGCCGGAAGACCAAGGGUUCCUGUCCAACGUUAAUCGGGGCAGGGUGAGUCGACCCCUAAGGCGAGGCCGAAAGGCGUAGUCGAUGGGAAACAGGUUAAUAUUCCUGUACUUGGUGUUACUGCGAAGGGGGGACGGAGAAGGCUAUGUUGGCCGGGCGACGGUUGUCCCGGUUUAAGCGUGUAGGCUGGUUUUCCAGGCAAAUCCGGAAAACCAAGGCUGAGGCGUGAUGACGAGGCACUACGGUGCUGAAGCGACAAAUGCCCUGCUUCCAGGAAAAGCCUCUAAGCAUCAGGUAACAUCAAAUCGUACCCCAAACCGACACAGGUGGUCAGGUAGAGAAUACCAAGGCGCUUGAGAGAACUCGGGUGAAGGAACUAGGCAAAAUGGUGCCGUAACUUCGGGAGAAGGCACGCUGAUAUGUAGGUGAAGCGACUUGCUCGUGGAGCUGAAAUCAGUCGAAGAUACCAGCUGGCUGCAACUGUUUAUUAAAAACACAGCACUGUGCAAACACGAAAGUGGACGUAUACGGUGUGACGCCUGCCCGGUGCCGGAAGGUUAAUUGAUGGGGUUAGCGGUAACGCGAAGCUCUUGAUCGAAGCCCCGGUAAACGGCGGCCGUAACUAUAACGGUCCUAAGGUAGCGAAAUUCCUUGUCGGGUAAGUUCCGACCUGCACGAAUGGCGUAAUGAUGGCCAGGCUGUCUCCACCCGAGACUCAGUGAAAUUGAACUCGCUGUGAAGAUGCAGUGUACCCGCGGCAAGACGGAAAGACCCCGUGAACCUUUACUAUAGCUUGACACUGAACAUUGAGCCUUGAUGUGUAGGAUAGGUGGGAGGCUUUGAAGUGUGGACGCCAGUCUGCAUGGAGCCGACCUUGAAAUACCACCCUUUAAUGUUUGAUGUUCUAACGUUGGCCCGUAAUCCGGGUUGCGGACAGUGUCUGGUGGGUAGUUUGACUGGGGCGGUCUCCUCCUAAAGAGUAACGGAGGAGCACGAAGGUUGGCUAAUCCUGGUCGGACAUCAGGAGGUUAGUGCAAUGGCAUAAGCCAGCUUGACUGCGAGCGUGACGGCGCGAGCAGGUGCGAAAGCAGGUCAUAGUGAUCCGGUGGUUCUGAAUGGAAGGGCCAUCGCUCAACGGAUAAAAGGUACUCCGGGGAUAACAGGCUGAUACCGCCCAAGAGUUCAUAUCGACGGCGGUGUUUGGCACCUCGAUGUCGGCUCAUCACAUCCUGGGGCUGAAGUAGGUCCCAAGGGUAUGGCUGUUCGCCAUUUAAAGUGGUACGCGAGCUGGGUUUAGAACGUCGUGAGACAGUUCGGUCCCUAUCUGCCGUGGGCGCUGGAGAACUGAGGGGGGCUGCUCCUAGUACGAGAGGACCGGAGUGGACGCAUCACUGGUGUUCGGGUUGUCAUGCCAAUGGCACUGCCCGGUAGCUAAAUGCGGAAGAGAUAAGUGCUGAAAGCAUCUAAGCACGAAACUUGCCCCGAGAUGAGUUCUCCCUGAGACUUAGAGUCUCCUGAAGGAACGUUGAAGACGACGACGUUGAUAGGCCGGGUGUGUAAGCGCAGCGAUGCGUUGAGCUAACCGGUACUAAUGAACCGUGAGGCUUAACCUUACAACGCCGAAGC
rnacentral:rRNA from 1 species